rnacentral:lncRNA from 1 species
UUCGAUGAGAUGUUACGGAGGUAAACAACGGCGUCGAUUAGACACUCGUCAAACUUAGAGUCCUCUACUGAGGAAGAAGACUAUGUGAUGAGUGAGAUUUGACGCAUUCUUUUUAGUUAUGUUUUUUAUUUUUUUUUAUUUUUGUGUAUUUAUUUUUAAAACUCAUCUGUAGCUUGUGUGGUAGCCACAUCAGUUUGAUAACCUGUUGAAUCUCACGAAAUCUAAAAAAAAA